ACCAAAACUUCGCUUAUCUAAGGGGAACAGUUGCGCCAGUGGCAUGAGCCUUGUGCCUUGCGCCAAGUGCUAGAGUGCCGUGAGCCAGCUGUUCAAUACCCGGGCGGAUUAUUUGCUGUAAUUUGCACAUACAGUCAAUCAAGACAGGGCAAGUCCAUCUUGAUUGACUACGCAUAGGGAGAAUACCUUGGCAAGGAAGAAGAGUGCG